AGCAGCCGCGGUAAUUCCAGCUCCAAUAGCGUAUAUUAAAGUUGUUGCAGUUAAAAAGCUCGUAGUUGAAUUUCGGGAUCAAUAUGUUGGUCGUGCCUUGGUACGUACUGGCAUUAUCGAUUCCUACCUUCUGAAGAACCUCGAUGUCAUUAAUUUGGUGUCUUGGGGAAUCAGGACUGUUACUUUGAAAAAUUAGAGUGUUUAAAGCAGGCUCGCGCUUGAAUACAUUAGCAUGGAAUAAUGAAAUAGGACGUUUGAUUCUAUUUUGUUGGUUUUCUAGGAUCGACGUAAUGAUUAAUAGGGAUAGUUGGGGGCAUUAGUAUUCAAUUGUCAGAGGUGAAAUUCUUGGAUUUAUUGAAGACUAACUACUGCGAAAGCAUUUGCCAAGGAUGUUUUCAUUAAUCAAGAACGAAAGUUAGGGGAUCGAAGACGAUCAGAUACCGUCGUAGUCUUAACCAUAAACUAUGCCGACUAGGGAUCGGAUGAUGUUAAUUUUUUAAUGUACUCAUUCGGCGUACCC
rnacentral:rRNA from 1 species